GCUGGAGUUGUGGCUCAGCGGUAGAGCACUCCCCUAGCAUGUGUGAGGCCCUGGGUUCAAUCCUCAGCACAGCA
rnacentral:tRNA from 1 species